rnacentral:rRNA from 1 species
UACGUAGGGUGCAAGCGUUAAUCGGAAUUACUGGGCGUAAAGCGUACGCAGGCGGCUAUGUAAGACAGGUGUGAAAUCCCCGGGCCUAACCUGGGAACUGCAUUUGUGACUGCAUAGCUAGAGUCCGUCAGAGGGGGGUGGAAUUCCACGUGUAGCAGUGAAAUGCGUAGAGAUGUGGAGGAACACCGAUGGCGAAGGCAGCCCCCUGGGUUAACACUGACGCUCAGGCACGAAAGCGUGGGGAGCAAACAGG